rnacentral:lncRNA from 1 species
ACUGAUUUAUUAUUUUUUAAAUAAGCAAAAUAUGGAAAUUCUUUUUACCAAUUUGGGGUACCCUUAGCUCAUGACCUUGGUCAAUAAAUAAUCAUUUUAUGUUCAAUGUAAUUUCUUAAACAAAACAAAACCCAUCUUCUUUCUCUCUAGUUUCUGGUGAAUCAAAGUAGCCUCUAUGAAUCAAAAAAAUUAAAAGUGACUUAAGCUAAAACAAUUUUGGGUUUUCUCUAACAGCUCAGGGAAAAUCACUUAAAGCAAUUUACAUCACUAUUUUAAACAUUCUGAACUG